rnacentral:rRNA from 1 species
AUUGAACGCUGGCGGCAUGCCUUACACAUGCAAGUCGAACGGCAGCACGGGAGCAAUCCUGGUGGCGAGUGGCGAACGGGUGAGUAAUACAUCGGAACGUGCCCAGUUGUGGGGGAUAGCCCGGCGAAAGCCGGAUUAAUACCGCAUAAGACCUGAGGGUGAAAGCGGGGGAUCGCAAGACCUCGCGCGAUUGGAGCGGCCGAUGUCAGAUUAGCUAGUUGGUGGGGUAAAGGCUCACCAAGGCGACGAUCUGUAGCUGGUCUGAGAGGACGACCAGCCACACUGGGACUGAGACACGGCCCAGACUCCUACGGGAGGCUG